AUAAAAGCAUGGUGCUGGAGGCUUGCUGUUGAUGCAUACAGAUGGCUGCAGUACCCCAAAUUUAGUCUCCGUUCAAAUGUGUUCAUCACAUCUCUCGCUGGCUCUCUUUCAAGGCUCUUACCCCAACCCUAAAUCUUACGAUAUUUGCCUUUUGUAACUUUCAGUAAACAAUGGUAGCAUCACUUGAGUCCCCUUUAGGUUUAUCAUUCACUGUGCACAGAAGAGGAGUGACUGGUAGGUCAGAAAAGAUAGUGCCCUCCAAGAUUCUCGGGGUUUUCUGUCCUUGUACAUCUGGAUCACUCAAUCUUGGCUUAUCCUGACUUGCUCAGGCCCUAAGAAAAACAGGUUCUUGCAUCCCAAACUGAUGGCAGUCUAGUUUGUAUCCGAAAAUCAAUUUAAUCAUUUACAAUGAGAAAUCUAGCAGCCAAGUGGGGCAAUAUUUAUGUUGGCCGCUUUGCAAGUUCUCUUCCCACAAAUGAAACCAAGCAAAGAUUAGAAGUCUGUUGCUGUGUGAGCAUAAGCUACUGGUACAAGGAAGGGUUCUGAGACAGACUUAUCUACAAAAUGAUCUACUUAGAAUUCUCUGAUUUCCCCUCAGUGUGUACUCCUCUAAUUGCCCCGCUCGCCCACCCCUCACCUAUUCUUUGAAGCUUCUUCUACCUCUGGGUUCUUGGGAAAAAUGAAUCACUUACCCUGUCGGUCUACCAUAACUUUCAUACCUUUAUUAUAGCACCAAUUACCUCAUAUUCUGGUAAUCCUUGAUGUAUCUGUCUCCCCUUCUGUUUUCAUCACUGGGACAGGGACUCUCUCAUCUACUUUGUUUCCUCAAAGCCUAGCACAUAAUAAGUGCUCCGUUCAGGGUUGCUAAAUGAAUGAAUACACGAAUUAUUUUUCCAUUUACCCUAAUGGCCUGUCUACAUCUAAAUAGAUGUAGAUAGAUAUUAAGCGACAGAAAGGAGGGGGGAGAAAGAGAGAGAGAGACAGAGAGAGAGAAGAGAAUCCUAUUCCCUAACCAUGAGAGACCUGUCCAAACAUUAUACCGCAGGGAACCCAUAAAAGCCAGUCUUAGGCAAUACUCAGUGCUCUAUGUUUUCACCCAGACUGAUCUGUUUAUCUGAUCCUUCUAACAUUAUUCCCUGGCCUCACCUUAGGCCCUGGCUUAUGUGUGCUUCAACCUACAUGCUUAUUUUAGUAAACAGUUUGACCCCUUCCACAAGCAUAUUGAUUUGGAUUCUCCUAACUCCCCCUUUCACCCACAUCAGGCUACAGAAAUACCAAAGCAGAGUCUGGAUUCUAACAUGACCCACAAGUGAUAUGUAUGCUCAUUAAUGUUGUAGAAGCUCUACUUUGUUAGCACCAUGCUCUAACAAACUGAGCUAACUGGCCAGAUGCUACUUUAAAUCUUUAUGAUGACUGCCCCUGGCUGCAUGCUUUUCCUUUCCAUCUUCUCUCCUGUCAUUCUCAAGACAUCCACAUCCAUUGUAUUAGUUAUCUAUGGCUGCAUAUAAAACCACCCCAACUUACUGGCCUAAAACCUCACUUAUUAUCUUAUGGUUUCUGUGCGUCAGGAAUCUGGGCAAGACUUAUCUGGAUCCUCUGCUCAGGGUCUCUCAUAGGCUGCAGUGAAACUGGGCUUCAGUCAUCUAAAGCUUGGCUGGGGAGGAGUCGCUCGAGACUCACUCAUGUGGUUGUUGUUGGGACUCAUGUCUUCAUGGGCUGUUGGAAAGAGGCCUUCCUGAGUUCCUUGCCUGGUUGGUCUCUCCACUGCACAGCUUACAAGAUGGCAGCUGGCUUCAUAUGGAACAAAUGAGUGAAAAAGCAAGAGAGGGCAGGACCAAGAAUUUGGCAGAAAAACUCAUUGACUCCGUAUCCAUGCUGGCCAGAAGCAACAGUCAAAGGAACAAGAAGAUGGCCUCCACCUAAUUUCUACUUUCCAGAUCUAAUGCAAGUGCAUUUCAUUUUUGGACCUUAAUUCAUAUCUUGAAAACUAGAUGUAAAGCAGUUUGCAUUUUUUUUUUUUUUUUAACUUUCUGGCCAGCCUCUGCACACAAGAAGCAUUAGAAUAGUUGUUGAUCAAGACAAUCCAUGGAUUCUACCACACUAUGGCAAGGGCAGUAAAGGGAAACACACCUGAGACCUCUAAGGUUCUGUGACAGGAAUCAGAAUGUUUCUCCUGGGCUCCCUACUCUGCAGGCACGUUACAGGAUGGAGAAGGUAAAACCCAACAGUUACUACUUCUCCACAUGCUUUUCAUCUGAAGAUGUUGUUACUAUCUCUC